rnacentral:rRNA from 1 species
UCGCCUGUUUUUCAAAAACAUAGUUUUAUGAUAUUUAUAUAAAAUAACUUCUGCCCAGUGUCUAAAAAGAUAAAUGGCCGCAGUACCUUGACUGUGCUAAGGUAGCAUAAUCAAUUGGCUUUUAAUUGAAGUCUAGAAUGAAUGGGAAAAUGGAAUUUAGCUGUCUUAAUUUUUUUAAUUAAAAUUUAUUUAUAAGGUGAAAAUACCUUAAAAUUUAAUAAAGACGAGAAGACCCUAUGAAUUUUUAAAUGUAUUUUUGUUGGGGCGACAGUUUAAAAAAUAAUCUUAAAUUUAUAAUAUAUAACGAAUUUUUUAAUAAAAAUUAAAUUACCUUAGGGAUAACAGCAUUAUUAUUAAAAUAGUUUGUGACCUCGAUGUUGGACUAGGAACUAAAAGGCUAACCGUCUUUAUAGAUUUGUUCUGUUCGAACAAUUUAAUCCUACGUGAUCUGAGUUCAGACCGGA